rnacentral:rRNA from 1 species
AGCAGUCGCCACGGUAAUACGUAGGUGGCGAGCGUUGUCCGGAAUUAUUGGGCGUAAAGGGAGCGCAGGCGGACAUAUAAGUCCAUCUUAAAAGUGCGGGGCUCAACCCCGUGAGGGGAUGGAAACUGUAUGCCUUGAGUGUAGGAGAGGAAAGCGGAAUUCCCAGUGUAGCGGUGAAAUGCGUAGAUAUUGGGAGGAACACCAGUGGCGAAGGCGGCUUUCUGGACUGCAACUGACGCUGAGGCUCGAAAGCCAGGGGAGCGAACGGGAUUAGAUACCCCAGUAGUCCCUGUCUCUUAUACA